AAGAAACCUAGUGUUGGCGCUUUGGAAACCCAUCUACAUUUGUGAACAUUUCCUUAUCAUUUCGGUGCCACUCAAGUUAGGUUCUUAGUAGGUUCAAUUAUGAAGCGACACUAUUGAUUUGAUCAUGUAAUUAAAACAUAUUUAAGUUUCA
rnacentral:lncRNA from 1 species